UUCUCUUUGUAGACAUUCGAUAAAAUUGGAAUGAUAUAGAGAAUAUUAGCAUGGCUCUUGUAGAAGGAUGCACGCACAAAUUAAGAAAUAAUCCAAAUUUUA